UCAGCCGCUAGAUGGCAGCGUGGAUUUUAGAAACCUUAACCGAUUUAUUGUGUGACCACAGAAGAAGACCUUCAAAAACAUCAUGUCUGCGCACGGAGAAAUGUGCUCACGCUUUGGAAAUGAAACCCUGUAUAAUGGGUGAUUUCAGGCUAUUUUAUUAGCAGGUUUCCAGAAAGAAUGUCUGACGUUACCCCAGCGAAAGGAACAAAGAAG